CGCAUACCAGAUGAGGUUAGUGGUUGGUGAUACGAUGAUCUUAAUUUGGCAUAUGACCUGCUUGUCAGAGGAGCCAUAUAGAAUCUGUCGUGAAAUAAAUUACAUCAGGCUGAUUGUAGCUUGCAGAGUGAGUGAAGUCAUUCACUGCAAGAUGAAGAGUAGUGUGUAGCAAAUAUAUUUAUUAUUUAGUUUCUAAUAUUUACUGGAAUAAUUCAACAACAUCACUAAUUAUACUCUAAUACAGAUAUAUCGAGUAAGCAUUGUUAAACCUGUAAUGAUGCUAAAACUAGGGAUGGCAAUAUAUGCGUUCCUUAAAAAUAUAUUGAUUUUUUAGUCAAAUUAAGAUUGAGAGUGUUUUUCAUACUGAUCUACUGUCUGAUAUUGCAUUACAUAAAAGAUUUCUUAACCCUCUGAUUCAAACAGCCCCCUCACUCUCAUUGCUUUCCUGCUUCAAGAAAGGACACAGAACUGGAUCAAUAAUAAAUAAAGUGAUGGUUAAGUUGAUGAUAAACUGUAUGUGUGGCAACAGUGAAAGAAGGAACCCUUUUAAACAUAUUCUAGUCUCUUGACAAAAAAAAAAAAAAAAAAAAAAAAAAAAGGACAUGCUGCCUAGAGCUGGGCCAUAUCAUACCAUUCACAGUAAUACCAGUAUAAUGUUAGGCAAUGAUAAGAAAAUGAAAUAUCGCGAUAGAAUUUGGGUAAAAACGCGCAUGCGCAGUACCGUUGUUUUCAUACACACAUGGCAGAAAAAAGUAUGGCGGCGACAGAGAAUGCAAAGGGCGAAAGCAGAUCAUUGAAUGAAACAGAUGAACCAGAAUUGGUUUAUAAAAAUGGUGCAACUUCAGUAUGGUGAUAUUUUUGUGCCACUAUUCUGAGCGCACGUAAAAAAAAAAAUUGCAGGUGCAAGUGUUGUAUUUUGAGGAGAAAUUUAUUUUGAGCGAAGAAAAGCUAAAUUUGAGUGAACAAAAUUCAUUGCUGCAUGCAAAAAAAAAAAAAAAAAAAAAAAAUCUUUUUUUACAAUAGCAGCCCCUCUCGCUCAGUUUUUGCAUUUGCACUUGCUCGCAAUGUGUUGCUUGCGCUCUCAACAUUACUGCCCGUGCACGUUCAACUUUUUCUGUGCACCAUUAUAUUUGUGCCACAAAACCAGCCAAUCACAGAUAUGGAUGCAAAAAAAAUCUGAUUGGCUGUUUUGGUCUCCAAUCAGCUCGAAAUGACGAAAUGCAAUAUCCCAGAAUCCAUUUCGUCCAAAACUCAAAGGAGGCAGUGGCGGAGCAACACAGAGUGGCGGAGUUUGAAAUAUUACUCUUUCUGGGUCACAAAAUAAACUUUUAAGAUAUUUUCAUGCGAGAAUGGUGCUGUGUAAACUUCAAAUAAUUGCUAGAUUUAUCAAGACAUCACAUAUUUGCAUAAAUGCUCUAAUGUUUUCAUUAGAAUAGAGGCACAAAAAUGACACCAUGCUUCAGUGGUGCGGAACUGGUUUGGCUUUCGUCCGUCAGAUACACACCGAAGCACAUUUUUUUUGGCAGAGCAUGCAAGCGGGCCAUCGUUAUUACCAAACUGAUUUUAUGUGGUACACGGCGCUCAAAAAUCUGUCAAAAAUAUUUUAGUACGACUUUGCUAAGCUACGAAGCCGCACCGCUUGAUGGAUUGUCGGAGCACUGCGGCUACCAUAGUCAGGAGCCUCGCGGAGUGAUACGUACUGUGCUUCAACAUAAUAUUACCGCAUUGUGUGUGUAUAACCUCUUUUUAAGUUUCGUGGAUAUUAAACAUGGUUAUGCUCAGGAUAUGUCGGCCAAUUUCCACUGGAAAUGCCUUUUGGUUAAAUUGUCAGCAAGGAAUUUGCAUUUGCACUGUUAAAAUUUUAUAUAACUUUAAUGCACAUAAAAAACAGCUGCUUGUUUAAGUGAAAAUACAUUGAUUGGGGGGGGGGGGGGGGGUUUGCACUAAUAAAGUUGUGGAGUUGUAAAGUAUUUUGUCACGCGUCAAUUAUAUCGUUAUCGCAAAUUUUCAAAUAUAUAUCGUGAUAAAUAUUUUUGGCCAUAUUGCCCUGCCCUAAUGCUGCCCUGUUUUCUUUGAUUUUUUUUUUUUUUUAUUUAGUUUGGAUGGCAACUUAGUUCAGGUCUGAAGUAGCCUAUUUGAAAUAUUAUAGUCGCAAACUUCUGAGAUGUACCAGCUUUGACUUAACCAUCAACCAGCAGGUUAAGAGGAUAAAAGCUUCUUAAUACAUCAUACAUGCAAACCGAUAGUGAUGUCUUUUAGGUGGCUAUAAUUUUUGCUCCUGCCCACAGCAUGACCUUCCUGUCAACAUGGUGCAGGGGUACAUUCAUGCCUACAGAACUUUCCUUACAGAAAAUACUUCCAAAGAACAAUAACCCAUGUCCAUGCAUGAAAAACAAAAUUACAGUAACUUCCAAAACUUUUAGAACAAAAUCAGGGCAUAAAGUUUACAUAGAUAUAUAUGAAGACAACAUGAUCACAUUACAAUUAUGUGAUCAUGAGUUCAACUAAGUCUGUGAGGAGAAUUGUAAUUCAGAUUCUGAAUUAGGGCUAUGGUAAAUGGUAAAUGGCCUGUAUUUAUAUAGCGCUUUACUAGUCCCUAAGGACCCCAAAGCGCUUUACAUAUCCAGUCAUCCACCCAUUCACGCACACAUUCACACACUGGUGAUGGCAAGCUACAUUGUAG
ensembl:lncRNA